GUAGCUAAAACAGGUGUGUAGAUAUA
rnacentral:piRNA from 1 species